AAAAAAAAAAAUUGAAUUUAAUUUUUUCCCUCCCUUUGACAGUUUACAAACCGACCCAUCAGUUCGAAGAAACUGUGCAUUAAGUGGCGUGAGGGAAACUGCCCAAAACCGUCAACUUUCUUCCUCUAUUUGAAUAGUCCUCAUACAACACAAAGAAUACACACGAUUUCCUGCAUACAUACAUUAUACAUCUCUUCUUCCUUGCAUCAGUCUGCAGAGAGUAUUUUCAUUCUUUCUGGUUCGUUGUCUUGCAGUCGAAGUGCUGCUUCUGCAAGUGUGAUCGUUGUAUCUUGGGAGACGCUUUACCACAUACCGUAAGCACCGUGUGACGGGGUAAAAACGUCUUAAGGACAGAGAGCAUAGUUCUCGCCUCGAUCAUCCCCUUUCCGAAUUCUGGACUUCUUUCUUUUCAUAAUUUUUCGAACAUAAUUUUCUGCUUUACUGUUUCUGCAAAUUAUUUACUGCUUUACUGUUUCUGCAAAUUAUUUUCUGCUUUACUGUUUCUGCAAAUCAUUCAUGGAAAAUCUGUUU
rnacentral:lncRNA from 1 species